GACGAACGCUGGCGGCGUGCUUAACACAUGCAAGUCGAACGGUGAAGGGAUCAGCUUGCUGGUUCUGGAUGAGUGGCGAACGGGUGAGUAACACGUGAGUAACCUGCCCCCUUCUUCUGGAUAACCGCAUGAAAGUGUGGCUAAUACGGGAUAUUCUGGGUCUGUCGCAUGAUGGGUCUGGGAAAGAUAUUGUUUCGGUGGGGGAUGGGCUCGCGGCCUAUCAGCUUGUUGGUGGGGUGAUGGCCUACCAAGGCGGUGACGGGUAGCCGGCCUGAGAGGGGGGGGGGGCCAGAGGGGGAAAGAGGCCCGGCCGAGACCCGGAGGGGGGGGGGGGGGGGGGAAGAGGGCAAGUGGGGGGCGGGCCGGGGGCCGCGGCGCCGGGGGAGGGGGGGGGGCUUGGGGGUUGUAAUCCUUUUGGGGCAGGAAAGCAGCCGUGUUCUUUGUGGGGGGUUGGACGGUAGCUGAAAAAGAAGCGCGGGCAAACUACGGG
rnacentral:rRNA from 1 species